rnacentral:ncRNA from 1 species
CGAGCGUGAAGCUGUUGCGGAGAUUCGGGCGUUAUCUCGCAACAGCUUC